CUGCUGCAGGAAAAAAACAUUAUAUCACAAAAAAUGUCACUUAGCUACCACAAGGGGGCGCUGGCGGAUAAUGGUACUUUUCAGCUAUAUCAACACAGACAGGAAGCAAGGAUGGAACUUGCCUUUUAACAUGUUUACUCUAAUAUUAUUUAAAAAAAAAAAAAAAACCGUACCCAAAUUGUUUCCAUUAACAGCGACAGCAACAGAAACCACCGCAAAACCGAACCCCUCCUCCACAGAACCUGAACACAGAAAACUGUCAUGCAUGUGAUGAAGGAUCAAAGCUGCAGAGAUCUGCAGGUUCUGCUCACCUGUGUCAUUUCCGCAGUGACAGCUGGUGAAAGACAAAGGCGUCAGCGCUGCAGUCAGACAUGGAGGACAGGAAGCUCUGAAGCCUCUGCUUUAAGGCCGUCGUGUCACAGAUGUAGGACUCUCUGUAGAUGCGUCGGGCUGAGGAGACACAAGAACAGACGGCGACACUCGUGACUCCAGAGAUCAGCACGUCAGAGAUCGAGCCAAAGUUUGAGUUUGGAGUAAAAGAAGGCAGAGAAGAGAUCCACCCUCCAUGUCCUCCAAAUGUUGAAUGUAGCUGGCGGCUUCCCUGGUGCUGAGGUGCAGCCGGUGGCUGUCUCUGAUGUGCAUCAGGAUGUGUUUGGAGUGGAAAGCAGAAGGAGAGUAAUACACCAGCUUGGAGAGGCACAGAGAGCCGGAUGACAUGAUUUCAAACUUGCUUCCCUGGAGAUUGACAGUCAAUAAAAAAAGAGUCCCUUUUUCAAAUUUAGAAUUAAAUAUUUUCACAAACUUAAAGAUAAAAGCUACCUGAAACGUCAAAGAGUCAAUAUCGUUCCAGGAAAAGUCUAAAAGGAUCUGUUGAAUCCCAUUGAUUUCCUUAAAAA